GAACAGUGCUCGCUCUCUUUUAGCGGCGAGCGGCGGUGUGAGCAGGCCUGUCGCGCUGCCUCGCGGCCUAGCCCCACCCGCUGCCGCUACGCUGAAGGUUUGUAGUUGAAUGUCACCAGCUGUGUCUGCAGUGACGGUGAGUAUGUACUGAGCACAGCAGUGUGAGUGGUGGCAAAAAAAUGAAUGUGUCUGAGGUGUGCGAUCCAACCUGGGCUGUGGAGUUUGGAGCAGCGUGGAAGGGGCUGUUGGGGGAUAUCAAACCGUGCUUCACGCUGCUCCUCGCCCCCACCUCAAGCAGUGCUGAUCCAGA